ensembl:lncRNA
GUGUUGGGAGAAUUCACACCAGGUGGGCUCAUCCGUUAUCCCGGACAUCUGUGGCUGGGGAAGGGGCGAGCACACAGGCAGCUACUAACUGCGCCCCGUAAUGAAGAGGGCUGACGGCCACGCGAGGGAAGCAGGGACUGGCUGAGUGUGCCGAGAGCGAGAGGACAGCCACCUUCAGCGGAAGGAGACCGGCAACCGGGAUGCUUUGAGGCUCAAUUUGCCCCUGAGUGGAAACUCCAGAAUUCUUACUCUUAGAUCAGUUCCCAUGAUUGUUAUCAGGUGUACCACCUCUAGAAGCAGCACACUAAAUGUUUUUUUCCUGGUAUUCAUAGGGGUGUGUGUGGACCGCUUACUGAUAGGAGCAGCAAGGGAGCCUUCCCUCCGAUGGCUUUCCCUCUGCAUUCUAAGGCGCCGCUUGGUGGAAGCUGUCUUUGUUUUAAGUCCCAACAGCAGCCCUGGCCCGUGCUGUUUGGGCCAUAUGAGGACAGAAGGUGUGAUAGACAUGCCUCGAGGUAACAGGCUCUCUGGCCAAAGCUCUUCCAGGAGUCAGAGGGCAGAGAAUCAAGCUCUCUCAAGUCUCUUCUUUUAAGGACACUAAUCUCAUCUUGGGGGCUCUGCCCUCAUGACCUUGCUGCUGCUGCUAAGUCGCUUCAGUCGUGUCCGACUCUGUGCGACCCCAUAGACGGAAGCCCACCAGGCUCCCCCAUCCCUGGGAUUCUCUGGGCAAGAACACUGGAGUGGGUUGCCAUUUCCUUCUCCAGUGCAUGAAAGUGGAAAGUGAAAGUGAAGUCGCUCAGUCGUGUCCGACUCUUAGCGACCCCAUGGACUGCAGCCCACCAGGCUCCUCCGUCCAUGGGAUUUUCCAGGCAAGAGUACUGGAGUGGGGUGCCAUUGCCUUCUCCACACACAUCAAUGGUUAUCAUCAAAAUAGAAACCUGAACACAUCCAAAACAGCCCUCCCUUUAUGUGUCCUUCUGCCCCUCUGUUGCCAACCUAAUGAUCAAGUCCUGAUGGUUUAACACUUCCAUGUCCAAGAUGUUGCUUUAUGUUUUCAUCAGUUAUAACCCAGGUAUUUAAAAAUUGGUUAAUUCACUAGCUCUAUUUUUUAUCAUACAUUUUCACCUUAGGACAUUCCUAUCCCUUCUCCAGGGGCUCUUCCCCACCCAGGGAUUGAACCCAGGUCUCCUGC